UUGCUUAACACAUGCAAGUCGAACGGAAAGGCCCAGCUUGCUGGGUACUCGAGUGGCGAACGGGUGAGUAACACGUGGGUGAUCUGCCCUGAACUCUGGGAUAAGCCUGGGAAACUGGGUCUAAUACCGGAUAUGACCUUGCAUGCAUGGUGUGGGGUGGAAAGCUUUUGCGGUUCAGGAUGGGCCCGCGGCCUAUCAGCUUGUUGGUGGGGUAAUGGCCUACCAAGGCGACGACGGGUAGCCGACCUGAGAGGGUGAUCGGCCACACUGGGACUGAGACACGGCCCAGACUCCUACGGGAGGCAGCAGUGGGGAAUAUUGCACAAUGGGCGCAAGCCUGAUGCAGCGACGCCGCGUGAGGGAUGACGGCCUUCGGGUUGUAAACCUCUUUCACCAGGGACGAAGCGUGAGUGACGGUACCUGGAGAAGAAGCACCGGCCAACUACGUGCCAGCAGCCGCGGUAAUACGUAGGGUGCGAGCGUUGUCCGGAAUUACUGGGCGUAAAGAGCUCGUAGGCGGUUUGUCGCGUCGUCUGUGAAAUUCUGCAACUCAUUGUAGGCGUGCAGGCGAUACGGGCAGACUUGAGUACUACAGGGGAGACUGGAAUUCA
rnacentral:rRNA from 1 species